rnacentral:lncRNA from 1 species
UCUAACCAUAUCUCAAUGUCGGUAAUUUCUCCCUCCCCAUCCCUCAUUGUCGGUAAUUUCAGGAGGCGGAUUGCAUCUGCUCUUGUCGCCAAUUUCAUCAAAUCUUUGUUGAUCAUGUCUAUCUACUAGUACCGGGUAUAGAGCCUUAAUCUUUCUCGCUCAAGCUUCUCUUCUACACAACUUAGGGUAAAUUUAGUCAUAGAGUCAAAACAUAACCAAUGUUUCAUUGGUUUCUUGAAUUUGUUUGAGAGUUGAUGUCUCGAUAGCAUAGGUCAUCAAUAUUUUUUUGUCCUAAUUAGCCAUCGUUGUUUUUUUUUUUUUUUUUUUUUUUUUUUUUUUUUUUUUUUUUUUGUGUGUGUAUGAAUUUAUUAUUUGAUUUUCUGCAAAGAACUUGGUAUGAUAUGUUUGGGUUAGUAAAUAGGGUUAGGUGGAUUAAAGACCCCCAUCUUAGAUUCUUAUAUAAUGCUUUUUAAGUUUUUUUUUUAUUUUACCUGAACUUGUAACUGCUCUAUUUCUUUUGUCUCUUUUUGUCUGACCUGCACCACUUCAGCAAGAUGACGUUGGCAGGUCCUUUUAAUAGUAUCAUAUUCUUAAAAAUCAAUAUGUUAAUCUAUAAGUACUGUUUUUUUGGUUAUUAGUUGGUAGGCUAGAUAUCGAUCAAUAAAUAAAUAAAUGGUUUUCAUUUUUUAUUUUUCAUUUAAAAAGUAAUCUAUCUUAUAUCAAUCUUUUAAUCAUGCUUCUCUUACGAUUGAAUUACAGGUUCAAUUGUUACCAUUAAAUUAUAGAUCCUAUGAUAUUUAUGUUUCGAUGAAAUUACAAGUUUACUAUUAUGAAUUUCUUUUUGUUUAAUUCUUCUAUUUCGUGAUUAUACAAAUUAUAUCAAACUUCAAACAAAUAUAAUUUCUUUAUGCUUCUGUUUUGUGACUUUCGUUUUUGUUUUAUGCAUUUCUUUGAUGUUGAUUUACUUUCGUUAUAUGAAUUUCUUUAUUAUGUGAUGUAAAUGCUUCCAUUAACUUAUUUCCUAUUUCUUUAAUAAGAAUGGUAAUGGAGUCUCAUAUUAUAUGUAAUAAACGUGUCAUGCAAAAUAGUACCAAAACAAGAUAAAUUCAAAAAUUGUCGGUACCAAAUUAGGUCGAGUACCCGUAUAUGUUCACCGUAAGUUCAUACGCCCCAAAAGACAUGAAGAAUAUUAGAAAUCAAUAACAUAAUAUUGUUAUAAAAGGUAAAUUAUAUUCAAAAUAAUUAUUAACACCUAUUAAGACACCCUAUAAACAUCUUUAUUAAAACAUCCUUUAGACACCUUAUAGACAUCUUUAUCAAAAGUCAAUUAAUAAGUAACUAUUUUUAUUUAUCUUUUCCAAAAAUGGAACGUCCAUUUAGCAGAUCCCUAAUUUAAUGUUGUCAUUGACUUCAAGGUACCAUGGGAAAUCUUGGCGAUUUGAUGUAUUUAUGGGAUUGGAUGCUAGCAGAUGAAAAUGAUGGUGAUUGAGAUAUUAAGAAUAUAAUCUACUUUUACAUUUUUAUAAUAAAAUUGUUCCAAUGCUUAAUUUUUUGUGUUUAUCUAAAUGGUUUAUACCUUAAAUAAAUAACGUGUGAUAUAUUUUUUUUCCAUUUGUUUUCAUUUAAAUGAGUCAAGACUUGAUGUGUUUUAUCCGGUGCAGAAGCAUAUGGGAUAACUACCUCUUGGAGGUCGAGAGUGAGUUAUGGUCUAUGUUUGGUAUAAGGUAAGCACUUAUUGCUUAUUAUUUGUAACUUUUUUGUGUAAAUUGACUUGUCUUUUAUUACCCUUGUAAUCGCUAAGGUAUCUCAUUGUUAGUAAUUCUUUUCAUUUUUUUUUUGUUUUAAAUUGAUUUAUUAGUUAUUAUCUUUGCAAUCGAUUGGUUUCAUCACUAGUUAACUUCUCAUUUGAUUUCAAUACUUAUUUUUAUCUAUGUGUUGCGUUGCCAGAUACUUUGUUUUUGGGGAAUAUGAUUGGUGAGUGGCAGGUUAAAAAGAGGUCGUCAUUAAAGAAACAUUAUGAUUGUAAUUUGACAACUUUAUGUUGACUAUGAUUUGUGGUUAUUAUUUUGAGUUUGGACAUAUAUGUCAAAGUAAACAAUAAGUUUAUUUAUGAUAUCUGUGUUAUUUGAUAUCGUGU